GUGAGGAAUUUUCCGCAAUGGGCGAAAGCCUGAUGGAGCAAUGCCGCGUGAAGGAUGAAGGCCUAUGGGUUGUAAACUUCUUUUCUCAGAAAAGAAUUAUGACGGUAUCUGAGGAAUAAGCAUCGGCUAACUCUGUGCCAGCAGCCGCGGUAAGACAGAGGAUGCAAGCGUUAUCCGGAAUGAUUGGGCGUAAAGCGUCUGUAGGUUGUUUAAAAAGUAUUCUGUCAAAGAUUAGGGCUUAACCCUAGAUAGGCAGAAUAAACUUUUAAGCUAGAGUUUGGUAGAGGCAGAGGGAAUUCCCGGUGGAGCGGUGAAAUGCGUAGAUAUCGGGAGGAACACCAAAGGCGAAGGCACUCUGCUGGGCCAAUACUAACACUGAGAGACGAAAGCGAGGGGAGCAAAUGGGAUUAGAUACCCGAGUAGUCC
rnacentral:rRNA from 1 species